AUCGCUUCUCGGCCUUUUGGCUAAGAUCAAGUGAAGAUUCUAUGUGAUGAAAUGGGAAGCAUCCCACUGCUUAUUACACCUAAGUAUCAUAGCUGUCUUGAGAAAAAUCACUUGUGCUAUUGUUCGAGUUGCUAGCUGAAAUUUUUCAUAGUUUUUUGCAUAGACCUCCA
rnacentral:snRNA from 1 species